rnacentral:rRNA from 1 species
AUUGAACGCUGGCGGCAGGCCUAACACAUGCAAGUCGAACGAGUGGCGGACGGGUGAGUAAUGUCUGGGAAACUGCCUGAUGGAGGGGGAGAACUACUGGAAACGGUAGCUAAUACCGCAUACCAUCAGAAGUGCCCGGAUGGGAUUAGCUAGUUGGUGGGGUAACGGCUCACCUAGGCGACGAUCCCGAGCUGGUCUGAGAGGAUGACAAGCCACACUGGAACUGAGCCACUGUACAGUCUCCUACGGGAGGCGGCAGUGGGGAAUAUUUCACAAUGGGCGCAAGCCUGAUGCAGCCAUGCCGCGUGUAUGAAGAAGGCCUGCGGGUUGUAAAGUACUUUCAGUGUGGAGGCGUUACCCGCAGAAUAAGCACUGGCUAACUCCGUGCCAGCAGCCGCGGUAAUAC